GAUGAACGCUGGCGGCGUGCUUAACACAUGCAAGUCGAACGGGAAUUACUUUAUUGAAGCUUCGGUCGAUUUAAUUUAAUUCUAGUGGCGGACGGGUGAGUAACGCGUGGGUAACCUGCCUUGUACAGGGGGAUAACAGUCAGAAAUGGCUGCUAAUACCGCAUAAGCGCACAGAGCUGCAUGGCUCAGUGUGAAAAACUCCGGUGGUAUAAGAUGGACCCGCGUUGGAUUAGCUAGUUGGUGAGGUAACGGCUCACCAAGGCAACGAUACAUAGGGGGACUGAGAGGUUAACCCCCCACAUUGGUACUGAGACACGGACCAA
rnacentral:rRNA from 1 species